AACGAACGCUGGCGGCAUGCCUAACACAUGCAAGUCGAACGGGAUCCUAGCUUGCUAGGUGAGAGUGGCGGACGGGUGAGUAACACGUGGGAAUCUGCCUUUUGGUUCGGGAUAACCGCGGGAAACUGCGGCUAAUACCGAAUGCCCUCGAGAGAGGAAAGAUUUAUCGCCAGAAGAGGAGCCCGCGUCCGAUUUAGGUAGUUGGUGGGGUAAAAGCCUACCAAGCCGACGAUCGGUAGCUGGUCUGAGAGGAUGAUCAGCCACACUGGGACUGAGAUACGGCCCAGACUCCUACGGGAGGCAGCAGUGGGGAAUAUUGGACAAUGGGGGCAACCCUGAUCCAGCAAUGCCGCGUGAGUGAUGAAGGCCUUAGGGUGUAAAGCUCUUUUGCCAGGGAGAUGAUGACUGUACCUGGA
rnacentral:rRNA from 1 species